UACGGAAGGUGCGAGCGUUGUCCGGAAUCACUGGGCGUAAAGGGCGCGUAGGCGGCGCGGGGAGUCAACGGUGAAAGCUCGGCGCUCAACGCCGAGUCGGCCGUCGAUACUCCCGUGCUCGAGCACUGUAGAGGCAGGUGGAAUUCCGGGUGUAGCGGUGGAAUGCGUAGAGAUCCGGAAGAACACCGGUGGCGAAGGCGGCCUGCUGGGCAGUAGCUGACGCUGAGGCGCGACAGCGUGGGGAGCAAACAGG
rnacentral:rRNA from 1 species